AUUGAACGCUGGCGGCAGGCCUAACACAUGCAAGUCGAACGAGUGGCGGACGGGUGAGUAAUGUCUGGGAAACUGCCUGAUGGAGGGGGCUAACUACGGGAAACGGUAGCUAAUACCGCAUACCAUCGGAUGUGCCCAGAUGGUCUUAGCUAGUAGGUGGGGUAAAGGCUAACCUAGGCGACGAUCCCUAGCUGGUCUGAGAGGAUGACCAGCAACACGGGAACUGAGACACGGUCCAGAAUCCUACGGGAUGCAUCAGUGGGAAAUAUUGCACAAGGUGCGCAAGCCUGAUGCAGCCAUGCCGCGUGUAUGAAGAAGGCCUUCGGGUUGUAAAGUACUUUCAGCGGGGAGGCGUUACCCGCAGAAGAAGCACCGGCUAACUCCGUGCCAGCAGCCGCGGUAAUUC
rnacentral:rRNA from 1 species